rnacentral:piRNA from 1 species
AUACCUUGGGGAGCUGUGUAUGAGG